ACCUAGUUGGCUCAGUUGGAAGAGCAUGUAAUUCUUGAUCUUGGGGUCAUGAGUUUAAGCCUCAUGCUGGGUG
rnacentral:tRNA from 1 species